UUUUAACUGGUUGAAUUGAAAGAACAUAUUCUUUCCCAAUAAUGGCCUCUUUAAAGGAAAGUCAACCACGUCACUUCUGUCCAUAGCAAUCAUUUAGAUUUUAUACUAGGUUUCUUUGGCUGAAAAUUAUACACAAGUGAACUAUUCUGGGGCCAGAUACUGCAGAAUCAAAUCUCUACCAGUUGUCAUGUAAAAAUCUUCGGCCAUUUCUAUGCGAACCUUCCAAUGCUAAAGGGAGAAACUUUUCACACCUCAAUGUAUUUUUCUUUAAAAAUUGUUAGCUAUUCUUUGCGCACAAUUGUGUGUACUAAUUGAUCAAGUCGGAUAAAAUUACAAUGAGCGACAAAACUCUCGCUCAAGUGUUUCAAAAUUGCGACAUUCUCAAGCAGAC
rnacentral:lncRNA from 1 species